GCCUCAUUGGUUGGCUCAGGGGCAGAAGUCUGUCCAGUAAACAGAGGGUCGCUGGUUCGAUUCCAGCAUGGGGCA